rnacentral:rRNA from 1 species
CGUACCUCCUACGGGAGGCAGCAGUGGGGAAUAUUGAACAAUGGGCGCAAGCCUGAUCCAGCCAUGCCGCGUGAGUGAUGAAGGCCCUAGGGUUGUAAAGCUCUUUCACCGGUGAAGAUAAUGACGGUAACCGGAGAAGAAGCCCCGGCUAACUUCGUGCCAGCAGCCGCGGUAAUACGAAGGGGGCUAGCGUUGUUCGGAUUUACUGGGCGUAAAGCGCACGUAGGCGGACUAUUAAGUCAGGGGUGAAAUCCCGGGGCUCAACCCCGGAACUGCCUUUGAUACUGGUAGUCUUGAGUUCGAGAGAGGUGAGUGGAAUUCCGAGUGUAGAGGUGAAAUUCGUAGAUAUUCGGAGGAACACCAGUGGCGAAGGCGGCUCACUGGCUCGAUACUGACGCUGAGGUGCGAAAGCGUGGGGAGCAAACAGGAUUAGAAACCCGAGUAGUCCCAUGA